rnacentral:misc_RNA from 1 species
UUUUUUUUUUUUUUUUUUUCCAGAACCUACCAGAACAGUGCCAGAACCAAUCCCUUAUGCACCCAAACCACCCAACUCUGAUCAAAAUAAUAACCUAAAACAGUCCAUUUCUGCACAAAAACCAGGGCCUGCAACCGGUCAAGCUUCUGUCAACUAACUUGUAAAUAAACCAAACACUAAUGCUGCACCUAAUUCCAACAAUAUUAGGCAACCAAGGCCCUGUUUUAGAUGUGGAGAGAAGUACUUUUCUGGUCAUCAAUGUAAGCAGCAGAAAUCUGAGAUGGCUAUUCCAUCUUGUGAAAAUGAUAAGUCUGCAUUCCAAAUGCAAGGGCAGGAAGUGGAAGAUGGAGAAGAAGUGUGGCAUGAUGUUAUG